rnacentral:tRNA from 1 species
AUUUUAUUAGUAUAAAAAGUAUAAUUAACUUCCAAUUAAUAGGUUUAUGUUUAAAAUAAAAUA